UACGUAGGGUGCGAGCGUUGUCCGGAAUUAUUGGGCGUAAAGGGCUCGUAGGCGGUUUGUCGCGUCGGGAGUGAAAACCCAGGGCUUAACUCUGGGCUUGCUUUCGAUACGGGCAGACUAGAGGUAGGCAGGGGAGAACGGAAUUCCUGGUGUAGCGGUGAAAUGCGCAGAUAUCAGGAGGAACACCGGUGGCGAAGGCGGGUCUCUGGGCCGUAACUGACGCUGAGGAGCGAAAGCAUGGGGAGCGAACAGG
rnacentral:rRNA from 1 species